UACAGGGGGAGCAAGCGUUGUUCGGAUUUACUGGGCGUAAAGGGCGCGUAGGCGGUCGUGACAAGUCACUUGUGAAAUCUCCGGGCUUAACUCGGAACGGUCAAGUGAUACUGUCGGACUAGAGUACAGAAGGGGCAACUGGAAUUCUCGGUGUAGCGGUGAAAUGCGUAGAUAUCGAGAGGAACACCUGGCGGCGAAGGCGGGUUGCUGGGCUGAUACUGACGCUGAGGCGCGGAAAGCCCAGGGGAGCGAACGGG
rnacentral:rRNA from 1 species